AGUCAUUCUGCCCAUUGAUUUUUAAAGGCUGCAGUAUAUUAACUGUACAAAGGUAGCAUAAUAAAUAGUUUUUUAAUUGAAAACUUGAAUGAAAGAAUUAAUAAAAUAUAAAUUGUCUCAAUUAUUGAAAUUAAAUAAAAAGUUAAAAUGCUUUUAUUUUAAUAUUAGACGAUAAGACCCUAAGAAUUUAAUUUUUUUAUUUAAUUUUAAAUUUUUAAUUAAAUAAAAAAAAUUUAUUGGGAGGAUAAUUAAAUAUAACUUUAAUUUUAAUUAAUAUUUAUAAUUAAAAUUAAUGAUUAUUAUUAUAAUUAUAAGAAAUAAUUACCUUAGGGAUAACAGCGUAAUAAUUUUGGAGAGUUCAUAUUGAUAAAAUUGUUUGCGACCUCGAUGUUGAAUUAAAAUAAAAUUUAAAUGGAGAUAUUUAAGUUUUUAGUCUGUUCGACUAUUAAAAUUUUAC
rnacentral:rRNA from 1 species